UGGGGAAUAUUGCACAAUGGAGGGAACUCUGAUGCAGCGACGCCGCGUGAGUGAUGAAGGAAUUCGUUUCGUAAAACUCUGUUCUAUGGGAAGAAAAGGACUGUACCAUAGGAGAAAGCUCCGGCUAAAUACGUGCCAGCAGCCGCGGUAAUACGUAUGGAGCGAGCGUUGUCCGGAAUUAUUGGGCGUAAAGGGUGCGCAGGCGGCUUUACAAGUUGGAUGUGAAAUAUUGUGGCUCAACCACAAACGUGCAUCCAAAACUGCAAAGCUUGAGUUAAGGAGAGGUAAGUGGAAUUCCUGGUGUAGCGGUGGAAUGCGUAGAUAUCAGGAGGAAUACCGGUGGCGAAGGCGACUAACUGGAAUUAAACUGACGCUCAGGCACGAAAGCGUGGGGAGCAAACAGG
rnacentral:rRNA from 1 species